AUGCAGUCCACUGGUUUUCAUGCAACCACCACAGAGGCGGCUGGCAAUGUCAGUGGCCAACAAAAGUUUCAAAAGAGUGCAACCCAUCAAACUGUGGUGCUAACUUGGGCAAGUGAGUGUUCUUCAUUUUCUUCUUUUGGUUUGCCAGGAUAUGCUGCAGAUAUUCCGUCAUCCCACCUGCAGCUUCCUGGACAGAUGAAAUCAUAUCUUCUGUUAAAAUUUUUAAUUAAACCAGGAAUAGAAAGAAAUACCAGCAUAGGCGUGCUGGAAAAUGCUUCAUCAUGAUUUGAAGAUAAUCUAAUUACCUCGGUUAUGUUGUGGUUUCUGUCAAAGAAAUAAAUCCCAAUUGCAGCAACUAGAAGGUAGUCGUAGCCAUAUGAGCCGCACCUUGGAUAGCUCAAUGAUUGAUCUUUAAAAGGUUCCAACAGACAAGAUGAAGACAGUAAAAGCUAAGC
rnacentral:lncRNA from 1 species